UGGGUGAGUACACGUACCUAACCUACCUUUAAGACUGGGAUAACUAUUGGAAACAAUAGCUAAUACCGGAUAUAGUUAUUUAUCGCAUGAUGAGUAAUAGAAAGGAGCUUCACAGCUUCACUUAAAAAUGGGGGUGCGGAACAUUAGUUAGUUGGUAGGGUAAUGGCCUACCAAGACGAUGAUGUUUAGCCGGGCCGAGAGGCUGUACGGCCACACUGGGACUGAGAUACGGCCCAGACUCCUACGGGAGGCAGCAGUAAGGAAUUUUCCACAAUGAGCGAAAGCUUGAUGGAGCGACACAGCGUGCAGGAUGAAGUUCUUCGGAAUGUAAACUGCUGUUAUAAGGGAAGAAAAAAUAGAAUAGGAAAUGAUUUUAUCUUGACGGUACCUUAUUAGAAAGCGACGGCAAACUAUGUGCCAGCAGCCGCGGUAAUACAUAGGUCGCAAGCGUUAUCCGGAAUUAUUGGGCGUAAAGCGUCCGUAGGUUUUUUGCUAAGUCUGGAGUUAAAUGCUGAAGCUCAACUUCAGUCCGCUUUGGAUACUGGCAAAAUAGAAUUAUAAAGAGGUUAGCGGAAUUCCUAGUGAAGCGGUGGAAUGCGUAGAUAUUAGGAAGAACACCAAUAGGCGAAGGCAGCUAACUGGUUAUAUAUUGACACUAAGGGACGAAAGCGUGGGGAGCAAACAGGAUUAGAUACCCUGGUAGUCCACGCCGUAAACGAUGAUCAUUAGUUGGUGGAAUAAUUUCACUAACGCAGCUA
rnacentral:rRNA from 2 species